CGGUUAAAAAGCUCGUAGUUGGAUUUCUGUCCGAGACGGCCGGUCCGCACUUAGUGCGUGUAUCUGGUUCGGCUAGGGCAUCCUCUUGGGGAUCGUUUCUGUGCUUUAUUGCAUGGGGCGGAAUUCAAGACUUUUACUUUGAGGAAAUUAGAGUGUUCACGGCAAGCAAUCGCUUUGAGUACAUUAGCAUGGAAUAAUAAUAUAGGGCGUAAGUUCUAUUUUGUUGGUUUCUAGGACAUACGCAAUGAUUAAUAGGGACAAUUGGGGGCAUUCGUAUUAACGCGUCAGA
rnacentral:rRNA from 1 species